rnacentral:ncRNA from 1 species
CCUUAUCAAGAGUGGCGGAGGGGACCGGCCCUGUGAAGCCCGGCAACCUGAUUUGUUUUCAAGGUGCCAAAUCCGGCGGAUUAUCCGAAAGAUGAGG